UGGGGAAUAUUGCGCAAUGGGCGAAAGCCUGACGCAGCAACGCCGCGUGAGUGAUGAAGGCCUUCGGGUCGUAAAGCUCUGUCGGAGGGAACGAAUGCUCUUGAGGUUAACAGCCUCGGGAGGUGACGGUACCCUCAAAGGAAGCACCGGCUAACUCUGUGCCAGCAGCCGCGGUAAUACAGAGGGUCGCAAGCGUUGUUCGGAAUUACUGGGCGUAAAGCGUGCGCAGGCGGCCGCGCAAGUCAGGUGUGAAAUCCCCGGGCUUAACCUGGGAAUUGCGCUUGAAACUAUGCGGCUUGAGUGUGGCAGAGGGGGGUGGAAUUCCACGUGUAGCAGUGAAAUGCGUAGAGAUGUGGAGGAACACCGAUGGCGAAGGCAGCCCCCUGGGCCAACACUGACGCUCAGGCACGAAAGCGUGGGGAGCAAACAGGAUUAGAUACCCGUGUAGUCCCUGAGCGGGCUGGCAAGGCGCAU
rnacentral:rRNA from 1 species